GGAUGCUAUCAUACCAGCACUAAAUCACCGGAUCCCGUCAGCAUUUUGAAGUUAAGCGUGCUUGGGCGAGAGUAGGACUAGGAUGGCUGACCUCCUGGGAAG
rnacentral:rRNA from 1 species